UAUAUACUCCCUCCAUCCCAAAAUAAGUGACUCAAAAGGGACUCAACUUUGUACUAAAGUUAGUACAAAGUUGAGUCCCUUUUGAGUCACUUAUUUUGGGAUGGAGGGAGUAUGAA
rfam:Hordeum vulgare subsp. vulgare, WGS project CAJW01000000 data, contig: morex_contig_53040